UACAGAGGGGGCAAGCGUUAUUCGGAAUGAUUGGGCGUAAAGCGUCCGCAGGUGGCUGUGUAAGUCUGCUGUCAAAGAGCAAAGCUCAACUUUGUAAAGGCAGUGGAAACUACACGGCUAGAGUGCGUUCGGGGCAGAGGGAAUUCCUGGUGUAGCGGUGAAAUGCGCAGAUAUCAGGAGGAACACCGAUGGCGAAGGCAGUGUUCUGGGCCAGUACUGACGCUGAGGAGCGAAAGCGUGGGGAGCAAACAGG
rnacentral:rRNA from 1 species